ensembl:misc_RNA
UUCCUUUAAUCGUCAACCCGGAGCCCCAGGGCGGCUAAUGCAAGAGGCCAAAAAUGUUUGGAGGAAGAAAAACAAAGGCAGGAAGUGGCGGCUGCCUGACGGUGCGUGUGUGUCUGCAAAGAAGGGAGGGAGCCAGUUCAAUCUCUUGUUUUUCUGAACUUCAAGGUCUAGGCAG